AAAAAAAAAAAAAAAAGAAUAAAUUAUGAUAAGAUGAAACCCUCUGCAUUGGAAAGAUGUGAAAAAUGAAUCAAGCCAUGCAUAAACAAUUCAAAGCACAAUUCAGUAAAACUCACUUGUGGGUUUUAAUCUCUAAUGAACAAAUCCAAACCUCAGCUCAAAAUUAAUUUUGUUGACAAGAUGAAUAUGAACAAAGCCUAAAACACAUGAUUCUAACAUGCAAUAUACCAUUCAGGAAUUGAGUGCCUUCAAGGUAGGGGAAAAAACAGCAUGAGACUGAGAUUUACUCUCAUUUGGUAAGUUUAGUCAUAGUGCUAAGCAAAAUUUAGUUAUAGCCAAGAAACCGAAAUGAAUUAUUUUAGUUCGGUUUUUUGUUUCAAAUGGUUUGGUUUGGUUAUCAUUUUUCAGAAACUUCGUUUGGUUUGGUUAUCAUUUUUCAGAAACUUCGGUUUUCAGUUCGGUUCAAUUAUUUCAGCCAAAAACUAAAAUAACGAAACUGGAUGAAUUUUUUUUUUUGGGGCUGACUUAAGGGGGCUGUGUUUUGGUCUGCCGUCUGCAUAACCUGGGCCUGGCUUCAUUUAUCCAACCUAGCCACCCUACAAAAAAUUGAUAGCCCAGCUUCAUUACAAACAAUUUAGGGUUUGUUCUGCCAUUCUGACUCCUCUUUUAUCUGCCAUCUGCCAUUCUCACUUAUUCUCACUCCUCAUUUCUCAACUGGUUCAGAGUCUGCUUUUCUUCUCAACUUCUCAUUUCUCAAAUCCUCUUCUAGUUUCUCUCAGUCGUAAACCACACAAAUCCUUAAGCCUUUUGCCGUUGCCGCCACAAAUCCUCUUGGUGCUCGCCCUCUGCAUACUUCCAGCAUUUGUGAGUGCCAAUCACACCGCCACAAACCCAUUUGAGGAGGAGGGUCAUGUGUUCUAGGUUUGUUGUUUGAAGUGGAA
rnacentral:misc_RNA from 1 species